AAAAUUUUGAAUGCUAAAUCUUCAUAAUAAUAAGAAAAACAAGUUGAAUGUUUGGAAUCGCUAACGACUAAUGCUGGAUCCAAAAUCCGGUUAGUUUUCAUAUUAUUAUGCAAAUUAGUAUCCAAGAUAAAAAACUAAAACAAAUGACCUAAAACAUAAAUAUUAGGAUGGGAUAGAAAUUGGACCUGACUAAUAAUGGUUUUGAUGUUGUCCUUACUCCUCCACGACAAAUCUCUGAUCUCGCAGCAAACCACUCUUCCACCACCGUGAUCGGAAACGAAUCCCCCACUCUCUCCGUCGUCGUCGAUUGUCGAUUUUUCUUGGACAACCACCGAUAGCUUUAAUUACUUCGAACGAUUCUAAACGAAGGAGCGAGCAUCAUCUUCCGUCACUAACACUCGUAUCUGGUCUGGUUGGCGAGGAUUUUGCGAAGAGCAACAAAUCAAGCAAAUAAGUUGGAGAAUAAAUAUGAAACGAAGAGGAGAAAUCGUAAAAUCAGAGAAAAUUGGGUAAGAAAUUGCAUCUUUCUCACUCUCUAAAACUCUCUGUGUUUCUUUGGUUUUUGAUACUAAAAACGAUUACACCGAGAAAGAGAGGAAAGCUGGAGACGACUGUAUUUAUAGACUCAUCUUCGGAUUCAAAGAUUUCCCAUUUUCUUUUUUACUCUUUCUCUGUUAUUUCCUUUUUCUUUGUGUUGUUUCCUUUUUCUUAACUCUUAAUGUGUUUAUUAUUUCCUUUUUUUCACUUAGCACUGAUUGUUUUCCUUUUUUGACAAUUUGUAGAAAACUCUAUGCUUGCAAUCUCUAUCUAUUAUUAUUACAAAAAGCAAGAUCAAUGUUCUUGGUUAGGAUUUGAUUUUAUUUGGCAAAUUGCUUAAACCAUUGAUUGCUUCUGAUUAUCUAUGAGAAUGUGUGUGUAAUUGAAUGAAUUGAAUUGUUCUAAUUUGGGCAAAAAAUGUUUAAUUUUGUACUAUGAAACGUUUUCUCACAUAUAAAAUCAAGAAAACUAAUCUAAGAAAUUUCGAGGGAUAUGAGUGGAACAGGUAAUGAAACCCAAAACAAGAAAGAAAAAAAAAAAAUAGAAACAGAGGCUAAUUUAAGAACAACAAUACGGAAAAUAUUACUAAUGUGAUUAUUAAUUAUUCAUAAUCAAAGAAAUGACCAGCUAAGGUGAAAACGCAUUAAUCACUGGAGUAGCAGUGAUAGCCAUUAUUGGUCGAAAGAGCUUCCAUGUAUUGUUUCUCCAACACUUCCAUUACUCUAUCUGCUAUGGCACUUGCAUAAACACUAGAUCCUUCACAAAUCUGUUAAAAUCACAAUUACUUAUUAGUCUAAAACCUUUUUUUUUUUUUGGUCUUAUUAAGAGAUAAAUUGAAAUUUAUGACAAACCUUGGCGUUGAACAAGAAACUGUGGUGCUCUCCGAUUUGUG
rnacentral:lncRNA from 1 species